rnacentral:rRNA from 1 species
GACGAACGCUGGCGGCAGGCUUAACACAUGCAAGUCGAACGCAUCCUUCGGGGUGAGUGGCAGACGGGUGAGUAACGCGUGGGAACGUGCCCUUCAGUUCGGGAUAACCCAGGGAAACUUGGGCUAAUACCGGAUACGUGCGAGAGCAGAAAGAUUUAUCGCUGAAGGAUCGGCCCGCGUCUGAUUAGCUAGUUGGUGGGGUAAUGGCCCACCAAGGCGACGAUCAGUAGCUGGUCUGAGAGGAUGAUCAGCCACAUUGUGACUGAGACACGGCCCCAGCUCCGCCGCUAGGCUGCAGGUGGGAAUUUUGAAAACGCGGCACACACCUUUCCCCCCAGUGCGCGGUGGGUGAGAAGGCGCUUGUGGUUGAAAAGCUCUUUCGUCCGGGACGAUAAUGACGGUACGGGAAGAAGAAGCCCCGGCUAACUUCGUCCCAGCCGCCGCCGUAA